rnacentral:lncRNA from 1 species
AUCCGUUCAUCGGACAUCACUACAUCGGCACAUCGCCCUCUCCGCGAGCUCACGCGUUCCGGGGCUCCUCCUACCUCCUCUCACGAGUGUGGACUGGGGAUCCAUCCAUCUGCCGGACCUGGAUUGAUUUCUUCUUUCCCUGGUAAGCUCCGAAGGAUCUUUCUUUCCUGCGAUUUCUCAAAUCCAUGUCGUCCUGGCUGGGAUACGAUCCAUCGAUUUUGUUGCGGGCUUGUUCCCCUGCGCGGUGGGGGAUGCUAACAACUUUAGUGCCCCCUGCACACCCCCCCCCCCCCCCCCCCCCCCAAAUUUUCGUUUGGGCUGUUAAUCUCGCGCCUGAUUUUUGUAUGGGAUGGGGCGCGUUGGUGGUGGUGGAUCGGUGAUGGAUUUGUACGAUCCUUUGUCUCACGUAGAGAUUGUGUUGUGCAGAGACAUCCGAGGAUGUCGACUCCCGCGAGGAAGCGGUUGAUGAGGGAUUUCAAGCGGCUGAUGCAGGACCCUCCGGCCGGCAUAAGUGGCGCCCCGCAGGAU